rnacentral:lncRNA from 1 species
UCCGUUUUUAUGAUCCCCGACUUUGCGUAUUAUCUCUAAAUUCCUUUGGUCUAUUUUUUUGAUCCCCGACUUUGCGUAUUAGCUCUAAGUUCUUUCAUUCGUUUUUAUGAUCCCCGACUUUGCGAAUUAGCUCUAAGUUCUUUCGGUCCGUUUUUAUGAUCCCCGACUUUGCGUAUUAGCUCUUUAGUUCUUUCGGUCGUUUUUAAGAUCCUCGACUUUUCGUAUUAGCUCUAAGUUCUUUCGGUCCGUUUUUAUGAUCCCCGACUUUGCGUAUUAGCUCUAAGUUCUUUCGGUCCGUUUUUAUGAUCCCCGAUUUUGCGUAUUAGCUCUAAAUUCUUUCGGUCUGUUUUCAUGAUCCCCGACUUUGCGUAUUAGCUCUAAGUUCUAUCGGUCGUUUUUAUGAUCCCCGACUUUGUGUAUUAGCUCUAAGUUCUAUCGGUCCGUUUUUAUGAUCCCCGACUUUGCGUAUCAGCUCUAAGUUCUUUUGGUCGUUUUAUGAUCCCCGACUUUGCGUAUUAGCUCUAAAUUCUUUCGGUCCGUUUUUAUGAUCCCCAACUUUACGUAUUAGCUCUAAGUUCUUUCGGUCAUUUUUAUGAUCCCCGAUUUUUUGUAUUAGCUCUAUGUUCUUUCGGUCCGUUUUUAUGAUCCCCGAUUUUGCAUAUUAGCUCUAAGUUCUGUCGGUCCGUUUUUAUGAUCCCCGACUUUUCGUAUUAGCUCUAAGUUCUUUCAGUCCAAUUUUAUGAUCCCCGACUUUGCGUAUUAGCUCUAAGUUCUUUCGUUCGUUUUUAUGAUCCCCGACUUUGCGAAUUAGCUCUAAGUUCUUUCGGUCGUUUUUAUGAUCCCCAACUUUUCGUAUUAGCUCUUAAGUUCUUUCGGUCGUUUUUAAGAUCCUCGACUUUUCGUAUUAGCUCUAAGUUCUUUUGGUCUGUUUUUCUGAUCCCCGACUUUUUGUAUUAGCUCUAAGUUCUUUCGGUCCGUUUUUAUGAUCCCCGAUUUUGCGUAUUAUCUCUAAAUUCCUUUGGUCUAUUUUUAUGCUCCCCGACUUUGCGUAUUAGCUCUAAGUUCUAUCGGUCGUUUUUAUGAUCCCCGACUUUGUGUAUUAGCUCUAAGUUCUAUCGGUCCGUUUUUAUGAUCCCCGACUUUGCGUAUAAGCUCUAAGUUCUUUUGGUCGUUUCAUGAUCCCCGACUUUGCGUAUUAGCUCUAAGUUCUUACGGUCCUUUUUAUGAUCCUCGACUUUGCGUAUUAGGUCUAAGUUCUUUCGGUCCGUUUUUAUGAUCUC